rnacentral:rRNA from 1 species
AAUGAACGUUGGCGGCGUGGAUUAGGCAUGCAAGUCGUGCGACAGGCCCGCAAGGGCGCUGAGCGGCGAAAGGGAGAGUAACGCGUAGGUUAUCUACCCUCAGGACCGGGAUAGCUACGGGAAACUGUAGGUAAUACCGGAUGAUGUCUCCGGACUAAAGGUGUGAUUCCGCCUGUGGAGGAGCCUGCGUCCUAUUAGCUAGUUGGUGGGGUAACGGCCUACCAAGGCUGAGAUGGGUACGGGGUAUGAGAGUAUGCCCCCGCUCACUGGGACUGAGACACUGCCCAGACACCUACGGGUGGCUGCAGUCGAGGAUCUUCGGCAAUGGGCGCAAGCCUGACCGAGCGACGCCGCGUGUGGGAUGAAGGCCUUCGGGUUGUAAACCACUGUCAGUGGGGAGGAAAUGCUACAGGGUUCUCUCUGUAGUUUGACCUAUCCGCAGAGGAAGUACGGGCUAAGUUCGUGCCAGCAGCCGCUGUAACAC